rnacentral:rRNA from 1 species
GACGAACGCUGGCGGCGUGCUUAACACAUGCAAGUCGAACGAUGAAGAAAAGAAUCGAAGCUUCGGCAGAAAUUCAUUUCGGAUUAGUGGCAGACGGGUGAGUAACGCGUGAGCAACCUACCUCUUACAAAGGGAUAGCCUCGGGAAACCGGGAUUAAUACCAUAUAACAUUGCGACGAAGCAUUUCGAUGCAAUCAAAGCUACGGCGGUAAGAGAUGGGCUCGCGUCCCAUUAACCGGAUGGUGAGGUAACGGCUCACCAUAGUGACGAUGGGUAACCGGCCUGAGAGGGUGAACGGUCACACUGGAACUGAGACACGGUCCAGACUCCUACGGGAGGCAGCAGUGGGGAAUAUUGCACAAUGGAGGGAACUCUGAUGCAGCGACGCCGCGUGAGUGAUGAAGGAAUUCGUUUCGUAAAACUCUGCUCUAUGGGAAGAAAAGGACUGUACCAUAGGAGAAAGCUCCGGCUAAAUACGUG